AUGUGUGCCAACUGCUGGCUGGUGCCGUGGGUGGCAAGUUAUGGGAGAUGAUGAGGGUGAAGGACAGCCUGUCCUUCCUCCCUUUUGCGUGCAAUCAUGCCCGGGAGGCUGUGUGCUACCUCUCAUUUGUUUGUGUCUGCUUGGUGGGAAAGACACAGUAUUCCUGGGCAGUUUGGCAGAGGCUAAGCUGCACACCCCUGCUACUGUGAGCUACUGUGAGCCAGUGAUGAAGAACUGAAGGAGGCCCAGGUUUGUGGGGUGGAUGCGUUACAUUCGGAUGAUGCUGCCUGGUUCGUGGUCAGGCCAGCAGUGGGUUUGUAACCACAGCCAAGGAGGAGAUGAGGUCAUCUGAGUGCCAAGGAGACUGACGUGCUGGACAAGUCCCUGGAGGCCUUGUGUUGUUCACGUGGAAGAAACACCUCCAGCAGUUAGGGCAUUGUUUGCUUUCUCCUCCUCCCUUGACCACCAAGAUGAGGUUGCCAACAGGGGCUGGUGUUCGUGACUUGCCCCAGCACAUCAUGGGGGCAUGCUGGUGAGUAUAGGGUUUCGUGCUCCACCUAAAUUGUGAUGAUAGUGUCUAAAAGAAGCCAUCUCACACCACUUCUACCCCAGCUAUGUAGUCCUGCCCUGUCCCUUGGACCAACACUGACCACCCUCUGAGCCCAUGGAGAGCUGGUUCAGGGAUGCUCCCCAACACGAAGUCCAUCACUUUUGUUGUAAGAUGGUUUUCCCUUGGUUUAGCUCCUUCAGUGGGGCUGGAUGAACUCUGGUACCAGGCCACAUGGGUGGGUUUGGGUAGAGGGUAGGACUGCCCCUCUGAGCGGCAACUAGCUAUUUGUCUGGCUCCUGUCUUUUGCAAAGCUGAUUUCAGGAACGGGGAUACUCUUGGCUCCUUCUCUGCCAUCAGCUCUCAUGAGCUGGAUCCCUCCGAGGACAUGGAAACACCUCCCCAGAGCACCUACAGCUGGAUAAAUCAUGUUCCCAGGUGGAGAAGUCAACCAAGGAUGUUCUGCCUCUGCCCUGAGGCCAUGCUACCACCUUGUGUUAAUGAAGUUGUCCUUAGGACCUGCCCAGAGCCUGUCACUGGGGCCAUUUGAGCUAAAAAUCUAACUUCCAAACUUUCUGGAAGGUGGAAGGGAUCUUCCUACCCCCAUUCCCAGAGUCUGAGUUAGAAAGUGCCUAAUGUUUUUGAUAAGGUGGAGACAUAUGCCAGCCCUGAGGGCAGCAGAGCAUGGCUGGACCAACAGUGCUGGCUCCAAACCGUCAUCCUGGGUGCACAGGAGAGUGCCAGAAGCAUGGUUCAGAAGUGGAGCCACCUUACCUCCUACAUCUCUAGGCAUACAGCAGGCUGAUGGGAUGUCUUUUAUAACGUCCCAGCCUCUCUUUUUCCUGCCUCUAAC